rnacentral:rRNA from 1 species
GACAGAGGGUGGCAAACGUUGUUCGGAAUUACUGGGCGUAAAGCGCGUGUAGGCGGCCCGAAAAGUUGGAUGUGAAAUCCCUACGGCUCAACCGAGGAACUGCAUCCGAUACUGGCGGGCUUGAAUCCGGGAGAGGGAUGUGGAAUUCCAGGUGUAGCGGUGAAAUGCGUAGAUAUCUGGAGGAACACCGGUGGCGAAGGCGGCAUCCUGGACCGGUAUUGACGCUGAGGCG